rnacentral:lncRNA from 1 species
GACUCAAGAAACCCGGCACCGGCAGCGCGUCCGGCGGCGGCGACCGAGCGCAUAUAGACACGCCGCCGGCAUAGUACCUCCUAUCCAACUCGUACCUCCUCUUAGAAUACUUCACCACCUUGAAUUUCUCUACCUUAGCACGGCAACAUUCCUGACCUUCAGCAGCACUAGUGGUAGUGGUCAACGUUUUCUCUUCUCCACGUGUCAAGAUCUUGACGCUGCCGAGCUCGAU